rnacentral:tRNA from 3 species
GUCCCGUUCGUCUAGUGGCCUAGGACACCGCCCUUUCACGGCGGUAACAGGGGUUCGAGUCCCCUACGGGACGCCA